rnacentral:rRNA from 1 species
GGCUCAGGACGAACGCUGGCGGCGUGCCUAACACAUGCAAGUCGAACGAGAAACCCAUUUGUGAUCCCUUCGGGGUGAACUGUUGGGUGGAAAGUGGCGGACGGGCGAGUAACGCGUGAGUAACCUGCCCAUAAGAGGGGGAUAAUCCUUGGAAACGAGGACUAAUACCGCAUAUUGAAAUUUUAUGGCAUCAUAGAAUUUUGAAAGAUUUAUCGCUUAUGGAUGGACUCGCGUCAGAUUAGCUGGUUGGUGAGGUAACGGCUCACCAAGGCGACGAUCUGUAGCCGAACUGAGAGGUUGAUCGGCCGCAUUGGGACUGAGACACGGCCCAAACUCCUACGGGAGGCAGCAGUGGGGAAUAUUGCGCAAUGGGGGAAACCCUGACGCAGCAACGCCGCGUGCAGGAAGAAGGUCUUCGGAUUGUAAACUGUUGUCGCAGGGGAAGAAGACAGUGACGGUACCCUGUGAGAAAGUCACGGCUAACUACGUGCCAGCAGCCGCGGU